rnacentral:lncRNA from 1 species
AUUCAAAUUUUGGUUUGUGUAUUGGAAUUGUAGUUUAUAAAUUGAAAUUUUAGGAUUUGACUUGAACUUUUGUGGAUAUGAAUUGAAAUUUUGGUUUAUGUAUUGGAAUUUUAGUUUAUAAAUUGAAAUUUUAGGAUUUGACUUGAACUUUUGUGGAUAUGAGUUGAACCUUUAGGAUAUGAAUUGAAAUUUUGGCUUAUGUAUUGGAAUUUUAGUUUAUAAAUUUGAAAUUUUAGGAUAUGACUUGAAAUUUUGUGGAUAUGAGUUGAACCUUUAGGAUAUGAAUUGAAAUUUUGGUUUAUGUAUUGAAAUUUUAGUUUAUAAAUUGA